UACGUAGGGGGCAAGCGUUGUCCGGAUUUAUUGGGCGUAAAGAGCGUGUAGGCGGCCAUGUAGGUCCGUUGUGAAAACUCGAGGCUCAACCUCGAGACGCCGAUGGAAACCAUGUGGCUAGAGUCCGGAAGAGGAGAGUGGAAUUCCUGGUGUAGCGGUGAAAUGCGCAGAUAUCAGGAGGAACACCGAUGGCGAAGGCAGCUCGCUGGGACGGUACUGACGCUGAGGCGCGAAAGCGUGGGGAGCAAACAGG
rnacentral:rRNA from 1 species